rnacentral:lncRNA from 1 species
AGGAGUUCGAGAUAAAGGAUCCGGGUGAAGCAAAGAAAAUUCUUGGCAUGGAGAUAAUAAGAGAUAGACGUUCAUAGAAACUCUGUUUAUCUCAGAAAGAAUAUUUGAAGAGAGUGCUACAACGUGUUGGCAUAAAUGACAAGAAUAAGCCAGUUAGUACUCCACUUGAUCCCCAUUUUAAGCUAAGUACUACUAUGUCGCCAAAUGAUGAAGCUGAACGAGAGUAUAUGUCAAAGGUACCAUACGCGAAUGCUGUUGGUAGCUUGAUGUAUGCAAUGGUCUGUACGAGACCUGACAUUUCACAAGCUGUUGGAGUUAUUACUAAAUAUAUGCAUAAUCCAGGAAAGGAGCAUUGACAAGCUGUAAAGUGGAUUCUACGGUAUAUUCAUAAUACUGUAAAUGUUGGGUUAGUUUUUGAGUAGGAAGACAAUCCGUCUGUAGUUGGAUUGUGACUCAGAUUUUGCGGGUGAUCUGGACAAACGAAGAUCAACUACUUAUGUGUUUACUUAGGCAAAGGCACCACUUAGUUGGAAGUCUACUUUGCAGUCAACAAUUGCUUUGUCUACAACAGAGGCAGAGUACAUGGUUAUUACAGAGGCCGUAAAUGAGGCAAUUUUGCUUCAGGAGUUGCUAGAGGAGCUUGGUAUUGAACAAAAAGGUAUCACCAUUUUUUGUGAUAGUCAAAGUGCUAUUCAACAAGCGAAGAACCAAGUUUAUCAUGCAAGGACGAAGCACAUUGAUGUUCGGUAUCAUUUCGUACGAGAAAUCAUAGAAGAAGGUGGAGUCACGGUGAAGAAAAUUCAUACUACAGAGAAUCCUGCCGAUAUGCUGACAAAGGUGAUGACUGCGAUCAAGUUUCAACAUUGUUUGGAUUUGAUCAACAUUGUUGAACACUAAAGAUUGAAGAUGAAGACACAACUAAAAUUUGUUAUCGAGAGAAAAUUGAAGAUGUGAAAUUUUGCCAAGGUGGAGAUUUGUUGACUCUUUGGCAAAAUGGUUAGUCCCACAUCGGUGGGUUAACCUUUGGUUUGAGAAUUUUUCUCCUAUAAAAGAAGGCCUAAUGUUUAGGAUUUAAACAUACCUCUCAUUUGCCUUCUCAUCUGUUUAAGGCAUUUGUAUCUUCUCUCUUUAGUAUUAUUUCACUUGUAUUUUUGGAGUGGAAUAAAAUAUUGGUUGCGUCCGAGGAGUAGGCAAAAUUGGCCGAACCUCGUAAAUUCUAGUGUUCCUUUUAUUGUUGCUUUGUUGUCCUAUUUAUUAUUUAGUGGCUGCCAUAAUUUUUUGGUAUAGUAGUUGUGACUUAUUUACACUAUAUACAUUUGGCUUCCGCAACAGUUUUAACUCCACAUGUGUGAAGCAGAUGGUUUUAGAGGACAGCAAACAAGCAGAUAUGACAACCGGUCAAGCCACACAUAGAAUGUCUAGGGGCAUUCACGACAAGGUAUUUUGCUAUUUUUAGUAGUUUUUUACCCACUGUGUUCUUAAAUGAUUUCGGAAAUUUGAUUUGGUAUGUACGUUAAAGUCUAUCUAGUGAAGUAGAAGACAUGAACUAUGAAUAUGAAUUUCCUAAAAGUUUUGGACCAUUUACAUGAAACAGUGUGAUCUCCAGAAGGACCAGAUCUGCUGACAUGGCAACUAUGUAUGUAGCCUUAAGUAACCAAAUGUAAAACCUUAAUGGAUUUUUCAGUAUCUGACUAUCUGUAUGUUUAGUAUUUCAUGUGCAGACGCUAAAAGGUCAUUCUGUCUCAUCUAAACUUCCGGAAUUUACAGGGCUUCCCACCACUUUGUCCCUGUGGUGGAAAAAGAGAUUCAGAGCUUGAUAACUGCAACCACAUUGUUUUGCUUUUAAUAGCUUAGUCUAAUGAUGUUUACUGAGUUUUGACCGAAACUAUUUUUCUAUGUUAACAUUUGAUUUCCAACUUUUGACAAUAGCAACAUAAUUGGUGAAAUACAAGUCAUAAGGGUCUUAUUCGUUCUUGCCACUUGCAGGGACACUCACUCACAAGGAAGCUUGAUUCUGAUGGCAAGGUGAACUCAGUGCAGACUUUGCAUAAUAUAGAAGAAGGUAGUAUACCUAGAUGUUCUGUUUUUAGGUCUAACUGAACAGUGGAUUAAAUGUCAUGUAAUUUUACUUAUUAUCGUCCAGAUGAGUUAGCUAGAUUUGAACAGACUUGGAAAGGGAAUGCUGAUAAGCAUCUGCCCGGCUGGAACAAUGGGUUUGAUCUUCAUGCAAAUGCAGGUUAGACUGAAAUAUAUUAGACUGAAAUCUAUGCCUUACUCUAUUCUUGUUAAAGAGUUUUUUGGUACGUAUGUUGAUGGCCUCCAUUUGUUUGUACCAUACGUUUUUGUCAGAGUUGGAGUUUCCCCUACCUAUGUGUAUCUUAUAGCUGCUAGACACUAAACGACCUUAUUUGAAUGCAGAUAGGUCAAAUAAGUUUUAUUUGUUAGGUAGUGAUAUUACGGACUUAUUUCAAAUUGACCAACACAUUUUAAGGAAAGUCACAGAUUAAGAUAGGUCAUUCUUCCUGCAUAUAUGCUCAAUUUUUCCGCAAAUAAAUAAUACUCUAAGAAUCAUUGAGACAUUGUGGAAAUAACUUGUAUUGAACUGGUUGUAGACAAUAACGGCUCCUCUUUUGGAGUUUUAUGCUACUCGCAAUUAGAUAAGUUUAAGCUACAUGAAAUAAGUAUUGUUUUUAAGGGUAAUUACCUGAGUACGGAGAUUAUUAAUUGUCACAGAAUUAAGAAUGUUCUAUAUUAUUAAUCUGGAUGUAUCCUAAUAUGUUAUUACAUAAAUGUUCUUGACUUCAACCCCAUUUUUCCAAACUCAAGGUAAUGAAGCAACUUCAGUUUGCAAACUAUUACUUAGAAGUCAAGUUGCAUAUGCAAAAAAUAAUAACUUGGCAAUGCCCGGGACACAAAAACAACUAGUUGUGACACCAAAGUGAAGCUGUGAAACAUGGCUGUAUUUGAGACAUGCUGCUGCCGGCUUAACUAGAUUUAUGAACAAAAAUAAGUACUGCCAGCUUGGUGCCUUGGGCAGGUCCUGGCUAUUCAUGGCGUUGACUUGGUAGAGAUGUAAAGAUGAUAUAUGAUGCUGACUAGAGAUGUUGACUUCUUGUGAUGGUGAUAUGUCAGUUAACUGGGAUGGCUGUCGACUUGACAAGAUAAUAGAUGUGGACUAAUAAUAUCACCCCUGGACUAAUGUGAACAUUGAAACGUGACACAUGUUACCAAAACAAUGUUGAAAGUGAUAGUAGGAAAGAAUGAUGCACCCGAACUGGUUACAGAUAGGAGAUAAAAGUAGUGAAAUUAUGAGAAGAAUGAAAACUUUGUCGGUACAGGUGUAAGAACAUCCACCGUAGGGUGAAGUUAUUUAUAUCACUACCAAGAUUCUAAAUGCUCUAAUACCAUGUGAAAAUAGGUGGAAAGAAGAGAGGUCUUGUAUUGAAUUGAUUGUAGAUGAUAUUUAAGGCUGGGUAAAGCUUACUCUUUCCACAUCCCACUUGUAGGAAACUAGUGGGGUUUUUUUUUUGUUUUUUUGUUGUUGUUGUUGGCUACUAGAAAUAUGGCAAGUUUGGAUUACAUGAGAUAAGGAGAGUCAUUAAAUAAGAAGAAUAACCAAAAUAUAUAUUUCUAAAUACGAUAGAAUUUGGAAGAAUAAUAACCAAUAUAUAUCUGAAUACGACAUAAUUUGGAAGAAUACUAUAUGCUACACUAAGCUAUGUAUCUUCUAGCAUAUUACUUCAUUAAUUCUCUCAAUUUUCAGUAGGCAUGAGGAUAUUCGUGUGAGAACAAAAGAUGUUAUCCCUAAAAUUUACUUUAGGUUAUUUAAAAGGAAGACAUUUUAAAUAAUGUGGUUAAUGUUGCACGGCAAGUUACUUACUGCUAGUAGGCUUGCUAUCAAAUAUUAACAUGAAUGUAGAGAUCACUUUACUAAAGCUUUAUGGAAUAUAAUUAUGGAAUACAAUCGGCUGUGAAGAGUGCCAAGGGCAGAUCACAAUCAGCUCAGUUCUUUAGAAUGAUUUAUGCAGAAUUUAGUCAUGCUGUUUGGACGGAAAGAUACCAAAGGAUAUUUGAAGGAAUCAGUAGGGAAGUAGUCAGUAUUACUAGAAACAUUGCUUAUCUCUGUAAUGUUAGAGCUUCCCCAGAGAUUAGAAGUCUUGUGCAAUCGUGGAGUUUUAGUGUAGAGCUGAUUGAUAGAUGAGUUUCCUUUCUGUGUAACUAAUUUAUUGAUCGGGAGAUAUCCUCCCUAGGAGGUGAGCUCUCAAUCCAUCAAGUACAGAUAGAGUGCUUUAGUUUUACUAGUUCUUGUCGUUUUGGAUGGCUGGUUGUGUUAGUUCAGCUUGGUUUUGUAAAUUCCAUACUUGGUGAUCAAUAAAAAUUUUAAUUACCAAAAAAAGGGGUACACCUUUUUAAGAGCAAAAGAUCCUUGGUCCAUAAUUUAUAAGUUAUAUUUAGCACAACUUUAGUUUAGUGGCAGUUUAUUUUUAGUAAAACGUUUUGCAGGUUUUGUUGUGGUCAAAACUAGAAAUUAGUUCAAUUAUAAGAUCCAUUGACUUGUGUUGAAUCUUUGUGUCUCGCUAACAUUCUAGAACCCAGUCGUGGUUGCUUAUUUCAGUGCUAGAAUGGUAGAAUGGGCAGGAAAUACUGUAGGAAUAUCUGCUGGUAAUUUCUUGUUGAUUCCAAGUACUUAUGUUCGACUCUUUGCUCAUGAUUUGAUAACAUAAUGGAAACAAGCAUUUGAUGCCCAUAUUCAUUCUUUGUUAUGACAAUUCAAAUCAUAUAUACAAAAUUGCUUAGGUUUAUGUUGUAUCAGAAGUGGAAAAGCAAAACAGGGUAAGAAAUGAGAGAGGGAAGAAUGAAGAAAGAAAGGGGGNNNNNNNNNNNNNNNNNNNNNNNNNNNNNNNNNNNNNNNNNNNNNNNNNNNNNNNNNNNNNNNNNNNNNNNNNNNNNNNNNNNNNNNNNNNNNNNNNNNNNNNNNNNNNNNNNNNNNNNNNNNNNNNNNNNNNNNNNNNNNNNNNNNNNNNNNNNNNNNNNNNNNNNNNNNNNNNNNNNNNNNNNNNNNNNNNNNNNNNNNNNNNNNNNNNNNNNNNNNNNNNNNNNNNNNNNNNNNNNNNNNNNNNNNNNNNNNNNNNNNNNNNNNNNNNGGGGGGGGGGGGGGGGGUUUGAGAGAGGAUGGUGGAGAAAGGAGGGGAUAGGGGAGACGGGUAAAUAGUUCCAACGAACAAUCAAAACUUUUGACAAGAGUGUUAGAUUAAACAUAUUUCUAGCUAAGAGAUAAUUUUAUUUCUAGUUAAUAUGUAUAUCAUUAUUUCUAAUUGAAAGAUAAUGAUAAGUACUUCUUGUAGAAAAAAGGAUGGACAUUAUGAAACAUGACCAAGUGAUAAUGGUAUCUUGUAUGAUCUACAUCGUCUUGGAGUGAAAAUGUCCAAAUGGAAUUCCAAGCUUUUAUAGGACAUGUAGAUUGUAUAUAUCUAAAAUCUACUAUGCGCUUCAAAUAUUGUACGUAAAAUUGUAAAGCGAUGGGUUAAAACAAUGAGUGGAUUGACUCAUCAAGAUGUAUAUAAAUUGUCUUUGGGUGCUCUUUUACACCGAAUGUGAGAUCUUAUAUAUCUCAACAACCUUCUGCACCAUAGGCCAGUUAUAUAUCCCAACUUGCUUCUGCAUGCGUCAUUCGAUCUUUGUGAUUCAUACAUAGAAUUGAAUGCAAAUUUAGGAAUAUGACACAGGCUUAUCAAAGAUUGACUCUGAUACUAAUGCAGAAGAACUUUAAGUAUCGAACCCAAAAUAUUAAUCUAAUAUGAACGAAUGACAAUAACUUUAUAAGCCUUUUAGAUGUUCUUUACAGCUAAUGAGAGACACUUAACACGUAUGUGGUCGUACUAAAGUGACCUAACAAAUGCAAAGGGUUUGAGAUGCUCUUGACAUGCUUGCUCCUUUUGUUUUCUCAUCUCACCAUAUUCGGGCAUAUAGUUCUAUAAAUGGGGACAAUAUUGGACAUGUACUAUGCCUGUGUAGUAAAACUUACUAGCAUGUAAUAAUGGUCUGUUUUGUGGAAAUUAGCUGGCUCAGGAAAUAAUCUACAAAAAGAUCCGUGCCCUUUUAAAACAUGGUUUUUCGGCCCCAGGGUUGUUGCCACUUUCAUCCUAAUCUAUAUCCAACACUCGUGCAUACUUUGCAUUGUGCAUUAUUGUUUUGCAGGAACAAGUGAUCAUUCGUUAACCAACUGGAAUCCUGGCUUUGGAAAUCCAUUUGGAGGUCUGAGACCAAAUAGCAAUAACCAGCCAGAGCCUUCACGUGGAAGACCAAAGAAGGUUGUCACAAUCAACAUUGAGUAAACACCCAUACUGAUCACUUUGC